rfam:Tupaia chinensis contig67455, whole genome shotgun sequence.
GUUUUGAUGGCAGUGGAGUUAGUGAUUGUAAACAGCACAGUACAAUCAGCUAAUUACACUGCCUACAAACC